UACAGAACCCUUAAGUCGAAAUGAAGCCAUGUCCCGUGGUCGUCGCAAAUAGAAAAGUCAUUUGUUUAUUCUCUCUCUUUGCGCAAUAAUUUUCUAUUUGGUCUUCUCUAUUCACGUGAUUUUGUUUGUCUAGUACCCUUUUCAGACGAGUUCACGUUUUUACCAUCCAAAAGUUUGAAAUGAAAAACUAAUUAUGUGUUGAAAUUUUGAGUUCAUGCAUUUUAUUCCUA
rnacentral:lncRNA from 1 species